AAAAGAAGAUGAUGAUGAUGAUGAUGAUGAUGAUGAUGAUGAUGAUGAUGAUCAUCAUCAUCAUCAUCAUCAUCAUCAUCUUCAUCAUCAUGAAGA
rnacentral:pre_miRNA from 1 species